rnacentral:rRNA from 1 species
UGGUGAAUAUUGCACAAUGGGGGAAACCCUGAUGCAGCGACGCCGCGUGAGCGAAGAAGUCUUUCGAGUCGUAAAGCUCUGUCCUAUGAGAAGAUAAUGACGGUAUCAUAGGAGGAAGCCCUGGCUAAAUACGUGCCAGCAGCCGCGGUAAUACGUAUGGGGCGAGCGUUGUCCGGAAUUAUUGGGCGUAAAGGGUACGUAGGCGGUUUUUUAAGUCAGGUGUCAAAGCGUGGAGCUUAACUCCAUUAAGCACUUGAAACUGAAAGACUUGAGUGAAGGAGAGGAAAGUGGAAUUCCUAGUGUAGCGGUGAAAUGCGUAGAUAUUAGGAGGAAUACCGGUGGCGAAGGCGACUUUCUGGACUUUUACUGACGCUCAGGUACGAAAGCGUGGGGAGCAAACAGG